rnacentral:rRNA from 1 species
AUACGAACUGCGCAAACGUUAUUCGGAAUCACUGGGCUUAAAGGGUCCGUAGGCGGCCAGACAAGUCAGGUGUGAAAGCUCUCGGCCCAACCGAGGAAUUGCGCUUGAAACUGUUUGGCUUGAGUACGAUAGGGGUGUGCGGAACUUCUGGUGGAGCGGUGAAAUGUGUUGAGAUCAGAAGGAACGCCGGUGGCGAAAGCGGCACACUGGGUCGUAACUGACGCUGAGGGACGAAAGCUAGGGUAGCGAACGGGAUUAGAAACCCGAGUAGUCC